rnacentral:rRNA from 1 species
UACAGAGGUCUCAAGCGUUGUUCGGAUUCAUUGGGCGUAAAGGGUGCGUAGGCGGCGCGGUAAGUCGGGUGUGAAAUCUCGGAGCUUAACUCCGAAACUGCAUUCGAUACUGCCGUGCUUGAGGACUGGAGAGGAGACUGGAAUUUACGGUGUAGCGGUGAAAUGCGUAGAUAUCGUAAGGAAGACCAGUGGCGAAGGCGGGGCUCUGGGCCGAUAUUGACGCUGAGGAGCGAAAGCGUGGGGAGCGAACAGG